GGCGNUCAGGAAAGUCUGGAGUAAAAGGCUAUGGCUCAACCAUAGUGUGCUCUGGAAACUNUCUGACUUGAGUGCAGAAGGGGAGAGUGGAAUUCCAUGUGUAGCGGUGAAAUGCGUAGAUAUAUGGAGGAACACCAGUGGCGAAAGCGGCUCUCUGGUCUGUCACUGACGCUGAGGCUCGAAAGCGUGGGUAGCGAACAGGAUUAGAUACCCUGGUAGUNCACGCCGUAAACGAUGAGUGCUAGGUGUUAGGCCCUUUCCGGGGCUUAGUGCCGGAGCUAACGCAAUAAGCACUCCGCCUGGGGAGUACGACCGCAAGGUUGAAACUCAAAGGAAUUGACGGGGGCCCGCACAAGCGGUGGAGCAUGUGGUUUAAUUCGAAGCAACGCGAAGAACCUUACCAGGUCUUGACAUCCCGAUGCUAUUCUUAGAGAUAGGAAGUUACUUCGGUACAUCGGAGACAGGUGGUGCAUGGUUGUCGUCAGCUCGUGUCGUGAGAUGUUGGGUUAAGUCCCGCAACGAGCGCAACCCUUAUUGUUAGUUGCCAUCAUUAAGUUGGGCACUCUAGUGAGACUGCCGGUAAUAAACCGGAGGAAGGUGGGGGUGACGUCAAAUCAUCAUGCCCCUUAUGACCUGGGCUACACACGUGCUACAAUGGUCGGUACAACGAGUUGCGAGCCGGUGACGGCAAGCUAAUCUCUGAAAGCCGAUCUCAGUUCGGAUUGGAGGCUGCAACUCGCCUCCAUGAAGUCGGAAUCGCUAGUAAUCGCGGAUCAGCACGCCGCGGUGAAUACGUUCCCGGGCCUUGUACACACCGCCCGUCACACCACGAGAGUUUGUAACACCCGAAGUCGGUGAGG
rnacentral:rRNA from 1 species